GGGCGUUCCGCGGCAGGAGCGCGGCGCACACGGGCGGGCGCUCCGCGGUCAGGGACGCGGAGGGGGCGGAAAGCAGCGCCGGGUUUGCGCGCGGCUGAGGGGCUGCUCUGACUCCAGCCCUGUCUCGGCUCCCAUUUACGCCUGCACACCUUUCUCCUUCCCUUUCCCGAAGGGUCAGAGAGACACUCGCCAAGGGAGGGAGAGCGCUACUCUGCUGGUUUGGGUUUUGUCUGCUUAAACAUUGAACUGGAAAAGAUUCCUCCUCUCUGUGGUUUGAUAAAUAAUAAAAGUGAUCGUUUCGCCUUCCCCAUAAAUGACACAGGUAAAUUAUCCAGCUAGCCACAAAGAAGCAUCACAUGCCUGGAAGACACUGUAAUAAAAUGCCAAUGUAUUAUGAUAUGAGUGACCUCAAAAGUGUGACAAGAAGAUGAUUAUAGUGCAUUAUCUAUAGUGCAUUAUAUGUAGUACCUUUUUCAACGUUUUCUGAAGCAUGAAUGAACCUUUAUUUGACUGUGCUUUUAUUGCCAGCGUUUCUCAGUUUGAACUUACAAGCUGUAUGCUAGAACCUAUCCAAUUUAGUAUGCCCAGGUACGUGGCCAUGCAGGCUGCUGCUUCUGGUUAAGCCUUUCAAAUACAUAUGCAUAGGAAAAAAACCAAAGAUAACAUCAGCAUUUGACUUUUUCUGUAUGUGGUACUAUCUCAUUUGCACAUUUUGUGUGGAUGACAUUGGUAAGCUAAAGAUUCGAGUUUUACCUUGAAGAUUUUACAUUUGCAGAUGCAGGCGCUUAGGCUCUCACAUGUACCUGCACAUAGGAUGCACUAUUAACAAAUGGUGGGAGCUGCUUGUACUUCUCAGAGGUCAGUAAUUUGCAUGGUUUGGAAUUGGGUGCUUCUUACUGAUAAAUGUACACAUCCUUGCAAGUCAUAUGGAUGCAGACACUGUAUGUGAGCAUUGCACAUCCUGUAAUCCCAUGAUGUGUAAAGAUUAAACACUCUCAGUUUUGCUAUGCUUUGUAGUUGUGUCCAAAAUACUCUUGUUACUGUUACACACAGAAAAAAAAUUGAUCCCGGUUCUGAUGGCAUUGAGUAACGUUAGAAAACGGAACUGGAUCUAAUAAUAGUUCAAGAAAAAUGUUCAUUUAUGUAAUACAAGAAGGAUGGCUGGAGCCCCAGCAUUGAAAGUCAAGCAAGUGACAUGAAGGAGCAACCUUACUGCCAAACCACUUAGAAAAAGAAUUCUGUGAAUGAAUUAAGCAUGCAGUUCUUUUGUCUUUUAAAAUACAAAGCAGAACAGCCAUUAAUAAAGGAGAUAAUUAGAACUGCUAGCAUUCUGUGUAAUGCAGUCUGCUUCUGAAAUACGGCAUGUUUAUGUAUGCAUUAAUAAUACACACAUUUUUCCUGACACUAGUCAUAUCACAGCAGUAUGGCAUCACAGACGUUUUAUAGCCUCAUUCUAGUAACAUCACAGGCAUAUAACAUUCUUAUUCUAAUCACACCAUAGUCAUUUCAAUGUCACAUUGUAGUCACAUCACAUAGCCUGGUAAUAAUUAUUUAACUUUAUUGCUAAGCUGAAUAGUUUUCUGUUUGCUCAGGGAUGACUUAAACUUGUAGUCAGAAGCGAUUAGCACAUGCUCAUAAAUGAGCUCUUCCCAUGUACAUAGGGUUAGACUUGCGAGAAGUUAGGAAGAGAAAAAAAAGAAAUUCAGUGAACUAGUGUCUGUUGGACUUAAACCCAAUGCAAUCACAAGUCACAAUAUUAGCACAUUUUUGCUGUUUUCAGAAGUAGUUCUAGAAAGCCAACAAUGUUUACAUGUAGAUCUGUCAUGUUAAUGUUUAUGUGCUUGCUUUAAAAUGCUGUAGUACUUUAACUAAUCAUACAUUAUUAACCUCAUGGAAGAGGCAUGUCUUUAAACUGUUGUAUUUGCACACCAGAUUGAAAAAUGGAGGCCCAGAGUACCAAAGGGGUGAGAACUGUCACAACUGCUUCUAAUAAUGGUAGAAAAAGAACAGAAGGGGCUGAAUUCCUGAGCAGGAGUUGGAAUCACCCAGCGCAGCAUUAACGCCACCCCUGCAAUGUGAGGAACUGCUCUGAGCCGUGUCCUGUGCUCACUUGAGUAGCCUCUUGUUUACCCUCUGGUAGAUGUUUAUUCCAUAGCUCUUAUAUUUGAGAAAACUGCAGUAUUUGAUGUCACAUUCCCCUCAAAUGCAGCUGUGGUGACAUUAUUUGUGCUGUUUCUUAAUAAUUGCCUUUCCUUACUGUUGUGGAUUAGCCUUUUGUCUAUGUACAAGAACACUGGGUUGGCAAUCACAUCACACCUUAUUAAAAUGACUUCUGUAUUAUAACUUACUAACUAUUCAUCCACAUCAUUGCUUGUUAUCUUCGCCUCCAUAUUAUUAUGUAUCAAAUUCUUUUCCAUAUCAUAUUUGACUCAAAUUCUAGCAUGCUAGAAACUGACUCCAAUUAUUCUGUACUAGCUAUAGUCAAAUUGCACUAAAUGGAAUUGCUUACAUUGUAUCACAGUGGCUACAGGCUCACACAAUGCAUUAUACAUGAAACUGAUUCACAUUAUGCUUAGCUAACUAAAGACUUUAAUCUUGAAGUGUUGAGCAUAAAAUGCUAUCAUUCUUCACUGAACUGGCUCUGGUCACUUGAUCAUUUUAUACCUGGGAUUGCCUCUUACAGGCUGUUAUUAUUAAAGCAAAAUGGCUUUUCCUCUCCUGCAGUUCUACCACUUUCUGUAGAGAGCUGAUUCAUAUGCUAAUGAAUGAGCUUCCUUAUUUCAUGACAGAGCACUGCAACACUGGAACCUGACCUAUGGUGCACCUUUAGGAUGUCCCCCUCAGUGCAGCAUAGUGAAAAAAUGCAUUAUAAAAAUACACUUGUGUGUUCAGAUAGCAGGUUAUGUGCUAACUAUUGAGCAAUCUUUAAUAUUAUCCCCAGAGGUCUAAUUUCUGUAUGUUGCUGGAGUCAUUAGGAAACCCAUCCUUGGUCCCAUCUGCAACAGGAAGUAUCCAAGGCCAUAUUGCCAGUUCUGCUGAGGUCUCUCAGGGUAUUUCUGAUGUGGCUGUCCCUGGAAGGAGAAGAGAUUAGGAGUUCAGUGGGGCAGGUAAAGCAGUGAAGACUCUCCCUGUUACAAAUAGUUUUUAAUCCAUGAAAGAGUCCACCUCUACAGGGCAGACAUUCUCUCUGCUCUAAGUGGCACUGGCAUUGCUAUAUCCUUGAUUUUGGCUCCUGCUGAGUUCAGCCUCAUAGUAACCUCAGGAAAUCCACUUCUUACAAGAAGCACUGGGCCAAAAAGUGAUGCCUGUAAUCUGCUGCAUUCCUAACCGCCAAAAUGUUCAGGAUUUCUGUAAAGAUGAGAGAGGAAUGCUACGGAGUCAAGGGCAGCAUAUGGAGAGGAUUGUGGAGACCAUGUUUUGUUUAUAUCCUUACAAGCAUGUUUCUCCUUGCAAGCAUGAUGCUUUGGACCAGACUUUGUACACCUAAUGGUUUGUAAUUCAGGAGCUUGCUUCAGAGUGACCUAGUCUUCUUGGGCAGAAGGAUUGGACCUGUAGGCUUUAUUUACAUUAAUGAAGUCAAUAAAAGUGUUUUGGGUAAUGUAAAUUAUAUGUAACUACAGCGUUUGAAUAAGCCAGGUAAUUGUGUUAUAAAUACUAUUUAUUUAAUAUACCAUUUUUUGCAAUUUCAAAGUGUAUUUAAUUGUUUUUCAGAAUGGUUGUGAGAGCUCUUGGAAAGGAAAAACACUUAAGUGAGCAGCUCAGGACUAUAUAAUAAUCUGUACUCUUAAAUAAACAGCAGUAGCUAAGUCAGUUAAUGAUUAAUAAUUUAAGCCAUUGAGCUGCUGAGAUGGGGAAGAGUUGCAGAAUUGGGACCUUUUAAUGUGUCUUUCUUCAGGAAAAUAAACUCAGUCCCUGGAUAAUCAAAUCACAAAAGGGGCAGGUGAUGACCUUCAUUCCAUUUGAAUGGCAGAACUAAAUUUAAGUGAAUUUGCCAUUUUUUUUUUGACUGACAAAGAUUGCAAAUGUCAGUUCAUGGCUCUGAAGGGUCCAGAAGUGCACAAGCUGAAAGCUGGCAUUUUGCAGUGCCAGUGUUUAAUCCCUGUCACUGUACAAUACAACCAAGUGCCCAACUUCCCUUAAUUAUUGCUGUUUAUUUAAAGGUACAGAUUAAUAUGCAGGUUUGAAUUGUUUGCUUGAAAGUAUAUGGGGCUUUUUCCUCUCUCACAAGGCUUAGUGUCUAUUUACUAUAAUACUAAGAAUCCAUUUGGAUAUUACUAAAGGAGAGUAAUAAAUGCUGUUUAAAAUGCAAUAAUUGGACCACUUAGAUGUAAUUUCAUGUGGCACAAAAAGCAAAAAAAAGCUUAAAUCUUUGCUACUCUCAUGUCAUUUUUUACGAUGGAAGUACCUGAUGAAUCAGAAUGCAGAAACAGACUCCAACCAAUGUGCUUUUGUGUGAGGCAAAAAUAUUCCAGAACCUGCAAAUAACCUGAUGUCUUAUUGAUGCUUUAUUGUUUAAAAAGAGUAAAAAGGAAAAGAAAUUAAGGCUUUCAGACAAAAAAAAAACAAACAAAAAAAAAAA